rnacentral:rRNA from 1 species
UACGUAGGGUGCAAGCGUUUAUCCGGAAUUAUUGGGCGUAAAGAGCUCGUAGGCGGCUUGUUGCGUCGGCUGUGAAAUCCCGAGGCUCAACCUCGGGUCUGCAGUCGAUACGAGCAAACUAGAGUGUUGCAGGGGAGACUGGAAUUCCUGGUGUAGCGGUGAAAUGCGCAGAUAUCAGGAGGAACACCGGUGGCGAAGGCGGGUCUCUGGGCAACAACUGACGCUGGAGGAGCGAAAGCCGUGGGGAGCGAACAGG